AUAGAACGCUGGCGGUAUGCUUAACACAUGCAAGUCGAACGGCAGCAUGGUCUAGCUUGCUAGACUGAUGGCGAGUGGCGGACGGGUGAGUAACGCGUAGGAAUAUGCCUUGAAGAGUGGGACAACUUGGGGAAACUCAAGCUAAUACCGCAUGUACUCGAGUGAGUAAAGCUGGGGACCUUUAGGCCUGGCGCUUUAAGAUUAGCCUGCGUCCGAUUAGCUAGUUGGUAGGGUAAAGGCCUACCAAGGCGACGAUCGGUAGCUGGUCUGGGCGGAUGAUCAGCCACACUGGAACUGAGAGACGGUCCAGACUCCUACGGGAGGCAGCAGUGGGGAAUAUUGGACAAUGGGGGGAACCCUGAUCCAGCAAUGCCGCGUGUGUGAAGAAGGCCUGAGGGUUGUAAAGCACUUUCAGUGGGGAGGAGGUUUGGAAGGUUAAGAGCUAUUCAAAUGGACGUUACCCACAGAAGAAGCACCGGCUAACUCCGUGCCAGCAGCCGCAGUAA
rnacentral:rRNA from 1 species